GAUGAAGAACUUAGUGAAAUGCGAUAAGUAGUGUGAAUUGCAGAAUUCAGUGAAUCAUCGAAUCUUUGAACGCACAUUGCGCCCCUUGGUAUUCCAUGGGGCAUGCCUGUUCGAGCGUCAUUUGUACCUUCAAGCCUUGCUUGGUGUUGGGUGUUUGUCUCGCCUCUGCGCGCAGACUCGCCUCAAAACAAUUGGCAGCCGGCGUAUUGAUUUCGGAGCGCAGUACAUCUCGCGCUUUGCACUCAGAACGACGACGUCCAAAAGUACAUUUUUACACUCUUGACCUCGGAUCAGGUAGGGAUACCCGCUGAACUUAAGCAUAUCAAUAAGCGGAGGA
rnacentral:misc_RNA from 1 species